AGCGAACGCUGGCGGUAGGCCUAACACAUGCAAGUCGAACGAGUGGCGGACGGGUGAGGAAGUCAGCGGCAUCUACUCUGCCGUGGGGGAUAAGGUAGGGAACAUUACGAUAAUACCGCAUAAGACGGAAUGAGCUGAUGUGGGAUUAGCUAGUUGGCGGGGUAAAGGCCGACCAAGGCGACGAUCCAUAGCUGGCCUGAGAGGAUGAUCGGCCACACUGGAACUGAGACACGGUCCAGACUCCUACGGGAGGCAGCAGUAGGGAAUAUUGGGCAAUGGGCGCAAGCCUGAUCCAGCAAUGCCGCGUGGGUGAAGAAGGCCUUCGGGUUGUAAAGCCCUGUUGUUAGGAAAGCGGUACCCAAAGAAUAAGCACCGGCUAACUUCGUGCCAGCAGCCGCGGUAAUUC
rnacentral:rRNA from 1 species